AACGAACGCUGGUGGCAUGCCUAACACAUGCAAGUCGAACGAAGCCUUCGGGCUUAGUGGCGCACGGGUGCGUAACACGUGGGAAUCUGCCCUUCGGUUCGGAAUAACAGUUAGAAAUGACUGCUAAUACCGGAUGAUGACGUAAGUCCAAAGAUUUAUCGCCGAAGGAUGAGCCCGCGUAGGAUUAGGUAGUUGGUAGGGUAAUGGCCUACCAAGCCGACGAUCCUUAGCUGGUCUGAGAGGAUGAUCAGCCACACUGGGACUGAGACACGGCCCAGACUCCUACGGGAGGCAGCAGUGGGGAAUAUUGGACAAUGGGCGAAAGCCUGAUCCAGCAAUGCCGCGUGAGUGAUGAAGGCCUUAGGGUUGUAAAGCUCUUUUACCAGGGAUGAUAAUGACAGUACCUGGAGAAUAAGACUCCGGCUAACUCCGUGCCAGCAGCCGCGGUAAU
rnacentral:rRNA from 1 species